UACGUGGGGGGCAAGCGUUGUUCGGAAUUAUUGGGCGUAAAGGGCGCGUAGGCGGUUUGACAAGUCUGAUGUGAAAUCUCUGGGCUCAACCCAGAGUCUGCAUUAGAAACUGUCGGACUAGAGUCCGGAAGAGGCGAGUGGAAUUCCCGGUGUAGCGGUGAAAUGCGCAGAUAUCGGGAGGAACACCAAUGGCGAAGGCAGCUCGCUGGGACGGUACUGACGCUGAGGCGCGAAAGCCAGGGGAGCAAACGGG
rnacentral:rRNA from 1 species